rnacentral:rRNA from 1 species
GACGAACGCUGGCGGCGUGCUUAACACAUGCAAGUCGAGCGGUAAGGCCCUUCGUGGUACACGAGCGGCGAACGGGCGGGUAACACGUGCGUAAUCUGCUCAUCACUUCGGGAUAACUCCGUGAAACCGGUGCUAAUACCGAAUAUGACCACUUCAGGCAUCUGAUGGUGGUGGAUAGUUCCGGCGGUGAUGGAUGAGCUCGCGGCCUAUGAGCUUGGUGGUUGGGUAGUGGGCUACCAAGGCUUCGACGGGUAGCCGGCCUGAGAGGGUGACCGGCCACACUGGGACUGAGACACGGACCAGACUGCAACGGGAGGCAGCAGGCGGGAAUAUUGUACAAUGGGCGAGCGCCUGAUCCAGAAGCGCCGCGUGUGGGAAGACGGCCUUCGGGUUGUAAACCUCUGUCAGCAGGGACGAAGCGGAAGUGACGGUACCUGCAGAAGAAGCACCGGCCAACUACGUG